CACAUCUUAUGAAGACAUCACCGUUCUAAAUACACAGUUGUUUUGAGUUUGAAAGGUGGGUCUAGCUGGCACUCCUGUGUUAACUCUCCUCCCUUGCCUGUGCAUUGUGUGAGAUGAUUAAUAUUUAAUCCCAGCAAGUAUGAGUGAUCUGGUUUUCCGCUCCUUACUUUGUCUGUUUCUGUUGCAGCAGUAAUAUAUCUUGGACUCUUACUUUGCCAAUAUAGUUGGUGUUCUGCUCGCUCUGCCACUCUUUACACUCACAUUCAUAUAAAAUGUAUGAUGCCAGUGAUGUGAUGUCUUCAUUUUGUCUUCCCACCUCAGGCAAAAUCAACCUGUUGCUCUUCUGACCCUGCUGCUCAGUGUGAACAUGAGAAGCCGGUCUUGCCGCUGACCUUUAGAGCCUUGUGUAAAACAUUGGUUGAAUUUAGUGUCCAGGUGCCAGCUUUUGAAGGAGCCCGUCGGAUCGGAUGUGAACUGCCUUUGAGAAAACAACAAAAUGGUGUAACAAUACAGUGGGUGUUCGGUGAAGAACUGAAGAAAUCCUCCAAUUUCGGGGCCACACCCUGCCAGUGUCCCCUUUUGCCAGGCAUUCAUUCAUCUCCAGGAUGCUGGGUGUCAUUAAACCCGGACAUGGAAAGGGAGCACUUGUCUCUAAGGACUACUUGGGUGAUCACAGUGGAAGUGAUGUCAUUAAAGACUUGUUUUUGAGUGCCA